rnacentral:rRNA from 1 species
AUACGUAGGGAGCGAGCGUUGUCCGGAAUUACUGGGCGUAAAGGGCGCGUAGGCGGUUAUUUAAGUCAGAUGUGAAAAACCGAGGCUCAACCUCGGCCUUGCAUUUGAAACUGGAUGACUUGAGGAUGAGAGAGGAAAGUGGAAUUCCUAGUGUAGCGGUGAAAUGCGUAGAUAUUAGGAGGAACACCAGUGGCGAAGGCGACUUUCUGGCUCAUACAUGACGCUGAGGCGCGAAAGCGUGGGGAGCAAACAGGAUUAGAUACCCUGGUAGUCC